UACAAUCACAACAAAACAGCAGAAAGAGAUAACGUAACAGAGUACCGAAGAGCAUUAGACCAAUACUACAAUGGCAUCAGAAUGUCAAGGUAAGAGUUCAUGGCCAGAGCUCCUUGGAGCACAAGCAAGGGUUGCGAUAGCCACUAUUGAAACGGAGAAUCCUUAUGUUGACACUCAGGUUGUGUUAGAAGGAACGAUUGUGACUGGAGAGUUCUCUUGCACUAGGGUUCGUGUUUGGAUUGACAGGAACAGAAUUGUUACUCGGGUUCCUAUGAUUGGUUGAAGGCUCAUGCAUGCUGAUUAUCAUUCUGCUGGAUCUUACGAAAUAAAGAGUUUCUAGUCCUCCCUUGGUGCUUGUUUUAUUUUACUAAAUAAGAGAUCUUGUUUUCCAUGCAUUAUUCUGUAAUUGUGUUACAAUUUCAAUAAGACUGGUUUAAUACUGUUAUA